rnacentral:misc_RNA from 1 species
GCUACCUUGGUGCAAACUUUUGGACAACGUAAUCAUGUUUGCUUAAAAGAGGGCGCAAUAACUGUUCCUCCCUAUGCCCCUCCGCAAAAAAUGCAAGCCCACCUUAUUCCUGGGAAAACUCCUAGGUCUAUCUUUGUCUACUUCAGAGGGUUGUUCUAUGAUGUAGGAAAUGACCCAGAAGGUGGCUAUUAUGCAAGAGGUGCACGAGCGGCAGUGUGGGAGAACUUUAAGGACAAUCCACUUUUUGACAUAUCCACAGAGCACCCAACUACAUACUAUGAAGACAUGCAACGAGCUGUGUUUUGUUUGUGUCCACUUGGCUGGGCCCCAUGGAGUCCGAGAUUGGUUGAAGCUGUUAUAUUUGGUUGCAUUCCCGUCAUCAUAGCAGAUGACAUUGUUUUACCCUUUGCUGAUGCAAUACCAUGGGAAGAGAUUGGGGUAUUUGUUGAUGAGAAAGAUGUACCCAACUUGGACACCAUUCUGACUUCAAUCCCGCCUGAAGUAAUACUGAGGAAGCAGAGAUUGCUUGCAAACCCUUCAAUGAAGCAGGCAAUGCUAUUCCCACAACCUGCUCAACCAGGAGAUGCUUUCCAUCAAGUUCUGAAUGGACUUGCACGUAAACUGCCUCAUGUCAAAAGUAUUUACUUGAAGCCAGGUGAGAAGAUCUUGAACUGGACUGCAGGUCCAGUUUGUUGGUGACCUGAAACCUUGGUAGCAGCAGUAACAUCACAUUUCUUUUAAGAAAUUCUAAGCAUUCAUUCCCUUAGCCCGGCCAGCAGGGCUUCUCAAAAGUGUGAAUCUUGAUUUUGCCACUGUUGGAUUACGCGUUGGAUUUUGCGGUUUUGGGGAAUAGAAUAUGGAUGUUGCUGAGUUGU